AUACGUAGGGGGCAAGCGUUAUCCGGAUUUACUGGGUGUAAAGGGAGCGUAGACGGCAUGGCAAGUCUGAUGUGAAAACCCGGGGCUCAACCCCGGGAUUGCAUUGGAAACUGUCAAGCUAGAGUGCAGGAGAGGUAAGUGGAAUUCCAAGUGGAGCGGUGGAAUGCGUAGAUAUUUGGAGGAACACCAGUGGCGAAGGCGGCUUACUGGGCCGUUACUGACGCUGAGGCACGAAAGCGUGGGGAGCAAACAGGAUUAGAUACCCUGGUAGUCCACGCCGUAAACGAUGAGCACUAAGUGUCGGAUGAAUUUUCGGCGCUGCAGUUAACACAAUAAGUGCUCCGCCUGGGGAGUACGGUCGCAAGACUGAAACUCAAAUGAAUUGACGGGG
rnacentral:rRNA from 1 species